rnacentral:tRNA from 1 species
GCUUUCAAGGUGCAACGGUUAGCACACUUGGCUUGUGUUCAAGAAGUCCAGGUUCGAGUCCCAGCGGGGGCA